CUUGGUCAUUUAGAGGAAGUAAAAGUCGUAACAAGGUUUCCGUAGGUGAACCUGCGGAAGGAUCAUUCAUAAUAAGUGUUUUAUGGCACUUUUUAAAUCCAUAUCCACCUUGUGUGCAAUGUCAGUCGAUCUUCUUCAUGGAGAUCGACCAAACAUCAACCUUUAUUUUUUAACUCUUUGUCUGAAAAAUAUUAUGAAUAAACAAUUCAAAAUACAACUUUCAACAACGGAUCUCUUGGCUCUCGCAUCGAUGAAGAACGCAGCGAAAUGCGAUACGUAAUGUGAAUUGCAGAAUUCAGUGAAUCAUCGAAUCUUUGAACGCAUAUUGCGCUCUUUGGUAUUCCGAAGAGCAUGCUUGUUUGAGUAUCAGUAAACACCUCAAAGCUUUUGGAUUUUUUAAUCGAAAAGCUUUGGACUUGAGCAAUCCCAACACCAAUCUUUUUGAGAUCGGUGGCGGGUUGCUUGAAAUGCAGGUGCAGCUGGACAUUCUCCUGAACUAAAAGCAUAUUCAUUUAGUCCCGUCAAACGGAUUAUUACUUUUGCUGCAGCUAACAUAAAGGGAGUUUGACCGUAUUGGCUGACUGAUGCAGGAUUUCACAAGGGUCGGCAACGAUUCUUGUUAAACUCGAUCUCAAAUCAAGUAAGACUACCCGCUGAACUUAAGCAUAUCAAUAAGCGGAGGAAAAGAAACUAACAAGGAUUCCCCUAGUAACGGCGAGUGAAGCGGGAUGAGCUCAAAUUUAAAAUCUGGCUGGUUUACUAGUCCGAAUUGUAGUUUAUAGAAGCGUUUUCGGUGGCAGCCUGGGUAUAAAUCCUUUGGAAUAGGGUAUCAUAGAGGGUGAGAAUCCCGUCUUUGACUCAGUGCAUGCUACUAUGUGAUACGUUUUCAAAGAGUCGAGUUGUUUGGGAAU
rnacentral:sRNA from 1 species